rnacentral:snRNA from 1 species
UGAUGUCAGGGCAGUAUAGCUAUGAUAUCUAUCACCCUAUUGGUUUCUAGAGAUGAUUCUGUUGAUUUUGCUGACUGGGUGGGCAUCCCAUUUUUUCCUUGCCUCUCUAUGUAUGUCCUUCCCAAAUCUGUAUGCUGUCAAUAGAGAAGGGCCAGUCUUUGGUUAAGGGUAUAUGAUAGCUGCACUUCCCUGCUGUAGCCUACAUAUAAACUUUCAAUUUAUUUCUGGAAAGGUAAUUGAUGAACAGUUGCAUAAUUAUGACAUUUUUGUUGUCUUAAU